CCGCCGGCGAGUGGCAAACGGGUGAGUAAUACAUCGGAACGUGCCCAGUAGUGGGGGAUAGCCCGGCGAAAGCCGGAUUAAUACCGCAUACGACCUACGGGUGAAAGCGGGGGACCGAAAGGCCUCGCGCUAUUGGAGCGGCCGAUGGCUGAUUAGCUAGUUGGUGGGGUAAAGGCCUACCAAGGCUACGAUCAGUCGCUGGUCUGAGAGGACGACCAGCCACACUGGGACUGAGACACGGCCCAGACUCC
rnacentral:rRNA from 1 species